rnacentral:rRNA from 1 species
GGAAUUUUCCGCAAUGGGCGAAAGCCUGACGGAGCAAUACCGCGUGAGGGAUGACGGCCUGUGGGUUGUAAACCUCUUUUCUCAAGGAAGAAGUUCUGAUGGUACUUGAGGAAUAAGCAUCGGCUAACUCUGUGCCAGCAGCCGCGGUAAUACAGAGGAUGCAAGCGUUAUCCGGAAUCACUGGGCAUAAAGCGUCUGUAGGUGGUUUGGUAAGUCUGCUGUUAAAGACUGGGGCUCAACCCCAGAAAAGCAGUGGAAACUGCCAGACUUGAGUGUGGUAGAGGUAGAGGGAAUUCCUAGUGUAGCGGUGAAAUGCGUAGAUAUUAGGAAGAACACCAAUGGCGAAGGCACUCUACUGGGCCAUAACUGACACUGAGAGACGACAGCUAGGGGAGCAAAUGGGAUUAGAUACCCCUGUAGUC